rnacentral:rRNA from 1 species
AGCUCCAGAAGCGUAUAUUAAUAUUGUUGCAGUUAAAAGGCUCGUAGUCGAACUUCUGAGUUUCAAGUGUUACCCGUAUCUAGUAUACUGAGUGUAAGAUCUUGGCCUCAUUUUUUGAUUUAGUUAUCUCCUCUUGAUUGAGUUAGAUAUUUAAUUCAAACCAUUUACUGUGAGUAAAUCAAAGUGUUCAAAGCGGAUGAAUGUCCCGAAUGCUACAGCAUGGAAUAAUGAUAUAAGACUUUGUUUCUAUUCUUUGGCUUCUAGAAUCGAAGUAAUGAUUGAAAGAGGUAGUUGGGGGUGCUAGUACUUGACGGUCAGCGGUGAAAUGCAUAGACCCGUUAAAGACUAACUAAUGCGAAAGCAUUCACCAAGGAUAUUUUCUUUGAUCAAGAACGAAAGU